UACGUAGGGUGCGAGCGUUGCCCGGAUUUAUUGGGCGUAAAGGGCGCGUAGGCGGCUCUGCACGUCCGUUGUGAAAUCGCCCGGCUCAACUGGGCGGGGUCAGCGGAUACGGCGGAGCUUGAGCAAGCUAGGGGGCAAUGGAAUUCCCGGUGUAGUGGUGGAAUGCGUAGAUAUUCGCAAGAACACCAGUGGCGAAGGCGGCUCACUGGCCCGAUACUGACGCUGAGGCACGAAAGCGUGGGGAGCAAACAGG
rnacentral:rRNA from 1 species